GCUAAUCGAGGGUGACUGCUGGAAGUGGAGCCACGCUGACUGAUCCCAGAUUGAGAGGCAGCCACAGCCACCCCAAAAGGGGUGGCAGAGCCCUGCCUGUGGACAGGGCCGGAGUCAUCGGCCCGCAUGGCCCAUCUUCCACAGGUCUCCCCCAGCCGAUAGUGAUGGAGGCACUGGACGAGGCUGAAGGGCUCCAGGACUCACAGAGAGAGAUGCCGCCACCCCCUCCUCCCUCGCCGCCCUCAGAUCCAGCUCAGAAGCCACCACCUCGAGGCGCUGGGAGCCACUCCCUCACUGUCAGGAGCAGCCUGUGCCUGUUCGCUGCCUCACAGUUCCUGCUUGCCUGUGGGGUGCUCUGGUUCAGCGGUUAUGGCCACAUCUGGUCACAGAACACCACAAACCUCGUCUCCUCUUUGCUGACGCUCCUGAAACAGCUGGAACCCACGGCCUGGCUUGACUCUGGGACGUGGGGAGUCCCCAGUCUGCUGCUGGUCUUUCUGUCCGUGGGCCUGGUCCUCGUUACCACCCUGGUGUGGCACCUCCUGAGGACACCCCUAGAGCCACCCACCCCACUGCCCCCUGAGGACAGACGCCAGUCAGUGAGCCGCCAGCCCUCCUUCACCUACUCAGAGUGGAUGGAGGAGAAGAUCGAGGAUGACUUCCUGGACCUCGACCCGGUGCCCGAGACUCCUGUGUUUGAUUGUGUGAUGGACAUCAAGCCUGAGGCUGACCCCACCUCGCUCACCGUCAAGUCCAUGGGUCUGCAGGAGAGGAGGGGUUCCAAUGUCUCCCUGACC
rnacentral:sRNA from 1 species